rnacentral:rRNA from 1 species
CCUACGGGUGGCAGCAGUGAGGAAUAUUGGUCAAUGGACGAGAGUCUGAACCAGCCAAGUAGCGUGAAGGAUGACUGCCCUAUGGGUUGUAAACUUCUUUUAUAUGGGAAUAAAACGUUCCACGUGUGGGAUUUUGUAUGUACCAUAUGAAAAAGGAUCGGCUAACUCCGUGCCAGCAGCCGCGGUAAUACGGAGGAUCCGAGCGUUAUCCGGAUUUAUUGGGUGUAAAGGGCGCGUAGGUGGAUUGUUAAGUCAGUUGUGAAAGUUUGCGGCUCAACCGUAAAAUUGCAGUUGAAACUGGCAGUCUUGAGUACAGGAGAGGUGAGCGGAAUUCGUGGUGUAGCGGUGAAAUGCUUAGAUAUCACGAAGAACUCCGAUGGCGAAGGCAGUUCACUGGACUGCAACUGACGUUGAGGCCCGAAAGCGUGGGGAGCAAACAGGAUUAGAUACCCCUGUAGUC